AGCGAACGCUGGCGGCAGGCUUAACACAUGCAAGUCGAGCGGGCAUCUUCGGAUGUCAGCGGCAGACGGGUGCGUAACACGUGGGAACGUACCCUUCGGUUCGGAACAACUCUGGGAAACUGGAGCUAAUACCGGAUACGCCCUUAUGGGGAAAGGUUUACUGCCGAAGGAUCGGCCCGCGUCUGAUUAGCUAGUUGGUGGGGUAACGGCCUACCAAGGCGACGAUCAGUAGCUGGUCUGAGAGGAUGAUCAGCCACACUGGGACUGAGACACGGCCCAGACUCCUACGGGAGGCAGCAGUGGGGAAUAUUGGACACUGGGCGCAAGCCUGAUCCAGCCAUGCCGCGUGAGUGAUGAAGGCCUUAGGGUUGUAAAGCUCUUUUGUCCGGGACGAUAAUGACGGUACCGGAAGAAUAAGCCCCGGCUAACUUCGU
rnacentral:rRNA from 1 species